CCUACGGGAGGCAGCAGGGGGGAAUUUUGGACAAUGGGCGCAAGCCUGAUCCAGCCAUGCCGCGUGCGGGAAGAAGGCCUUCGGGUUGUAAACCGCUUUUGUCAGGGAAGAAAUCCUUUGAGUUAAUACCUCGGGGGGAUGACGGUACCUGAAGAAUAAGUACCGGCUAACUACGUGCCAGCAGCCGCGGUAAUACGUAGGGUGCGAGCGUUAAUCGGAAUUACUGGGCGUAAAGCGUGCGCAGGCGGUUAUGCAAGACAGAUGUGAAAUCCCCGGGCUCAACCUGGGAACUGCAUUUGUGACUGCAUAGCUAGGGUACGGUAGAGGGGGAUGGAAUUCCGCGUGUAGCAGUGAAAUGCGUAGAUAUGCGGAGGAACACCGAUGGCGAAGGCAAUCCCCUGGACCUGUACUGACGCUCAUGCACGAAAGCGUGGGGAGCAAACAGGAUUAGAUACCCUGGUAGUCCACGCCCUAAACGAUGUCAACUGGUUGUUGGACGGCUUGCUGUUCAGUAACGAAGCUAACGCGUGAGGUUGACCGCCUGGGGAGUACGGCCGCAAGGUUGAAACUCAAAUGAAUUGACGG
rnacentral:rRNA from 1 species